rnacentral:tRNA from 1 species
CAAAAGAUAAGCUAAAUAAGCUAAUGGGCUCAUACCUCAUUUAUGAGAGCCGACCUCUCUCUUUUUA